AGCCUGACAUGCCGCAGUGCUGGCCCCAUGAAUUUAUUUUUUAGUUUUGUUUCUUUCUGAUUCUCCUUCAGGGAACGCUCUGAGUCAGCUCUCCCCUCAUGUUUUCAUUCUCUGGGACAACACCUACACAUCUGCCUCCGUCCCUGCCCAUCCCCCUUACCUGCCACCUUCUCCUGGGUGGUUUCAGGAUAUCUAAUUCUUUCCAGAGAAUUCUGGAGGAUUCUGGAAACAGUGUUCAUGUUGCUCAUCAUCACUGUCCUGUAAAUAACCAUCUUUGUUUUCUCCCCAUCUCUCUGCCACCUGUUCCCACUUGUCCAUGUUCCAGAACCUUCUGGCUCACCUUGCCCCAAAUGCUGGGCCUAUUUUCUCUCUCUGUUGCACAAAGCAGUUCAGCACUGCUCCUGGAACCAGGGCCACCUCCACUUUCUGGGUUUGGCACUUGGACUCAAGCCUGGCACCCAUAAUGAGAAACUGGUAUCCCUGUCAGCAAUGUUACACGUUGUGCCACAGCACCACUCCCAAUUUAGGACUUCAAAGCAAUGCGAAUGUCUUAUCCUGCAGUUCGGGAGGGACAGGUGUUAAACAUGGCUUUUGCCGGGCUGCCUCAAGGCGUUGGCACAGCUGUGACCCUUCUGGAGGCCCUGGGGACAAUCCCUUUCUGUCCUAACCCAUGUCGGGGCCACCUGCUUUCCUUGGCUUGCGUCCCAUUCCAACAGCUUCAAAGUCAGCCCUUGGACAGCCCUGUCCUGCUGCUGCCUCUAUGAUCCGCCACCUGCCUCUUUUCCUUAUGAUGACACCAGCAUGGUUGGGACCCACCUGAGGAUGCAGGAUCAAAUCCCACGGUGAGGUCAGCAACCUGAAUUCCCUGCUGUGAAGCAGUGCAUGGCCAUGGGCAUCCACAUCCCUGUCCUAACCUCUGUGUCCUUGGCCUCCGUGACUCACUGUAAGUCCUUCUCCACCAGGACAACGUCUUGCUUGGCUCAGGGCAGGGUCGUGGUGGAUGCUUGCUAGAGGCUUGCUGACAUGCAACACAAAUCAGGUAGGAAAGGCUGAUGUUUCUGCACUUCUAAAAUGAAGGCAGCAGGUGGAAGAUUCCCAACAGGGGCUAAAUGCUCCUCCAAUGCUAUCGGGAGAGGUUCCCCAGAGGGGAGUGUUUGGGGCCAGAGUUUCAGCUGCAUUUUUGGUGUUGGGUUGCUACAGGUGCCGCAGGUACUGGAACCAGGAUGAAGCGGGGGCGGCUGGAUGCCAGUCUCAGCCUGGAGUGCCUGGGACUGCCGCUUCCUGGAGGCCUCAUGCUCCUGGGCUGAGUACUCUACUCCGCCACCCCCACUGCCACUGCUUCUCUGCUGCUGUCACUUGUGUCUCCCUCAGGGCACCUUGAGAGUGUUACAGAAAGAAAAGAAGCAGGCUGCAAAGAAGAGCAUCUCAGGACUAUGCAAUUAAGGAUAAAAAUAAUCCCGGCAGGCUCGGGCAGCAAGGAGCAGGAGGCUGUGGACCUCCCCGGGAUGGUAGGGGAAAGCUUUGGAACCCCAUGCAUGAGUGCAGGGUUUGUCAGUUGAUGAGCCUGUGCGUUCUAAACAUCAGCUGUAUAUGAGCUGUGCUGAAAGAUGUGUGGUGAGGGUGUUGAAGGGGAGGAGUUGAAAUUGAGUUGAAAUCCAGGACUUGUAUACGAGAGUGAGACAGAAAGGGGAGUUGGAAACAAUGAAGGAAGAACGCUGCCCCGGCUGCACGUGCAGAGGGCAACAGCCGUUGUAACGGCCCGGGUUGGGUGCUGGAGGUGAGGAGGGACUCAGAAAUGCCCAGCAGCCUCCUGGCCUCCCAUCCUCUCGGUCUUCCUGCAUGGAGAACCCUCCGGCCCUCUCCACUGCCAGCUCCCUCCACUCCUCCCCUCUUCCCCGUGGGCAGCCACAAGGUUUUGCACCUGAAGGGCUCAGAAUCUUCCCACUGAGGGAUGAAAGAUGCGCAUGAACCCAUCCUGAGCCGGAGGUGGAAAUGUUAGGAAAGAAAGAGCAGAGAACAUGGCUGACAGAAGCAGAGGAGUAAGGAGACCCCCAGCCUGAGUGCUGCAUGUGUCCUGCUUUAGGCGUGGCUCCACCGACUGCUAGAUCCACCUGCUGGCUUUUCACAGCAUCUCCUGUUAGGAAGAUGCCCAGCCAGGGCAAGGGAAUUCAAAUCGCAAACACGAAACCCAAGUUAGCUCCCCCUGACACCAAAGCAAGCGGUCCCUUCCU